rnacentral:rRNA from 1 species
UGGUGGCGUGCCUAAUACAUGACAAGUCGUACGAGAAAGUCCUUCGGGAUGAGUACAGUGGCGCACGGGUGAGUAACACGUGGGUGACCUACCCUUUAGUUGGGGAUAACUGAAAGAAAUUUCAGCUAAUACCGGAUAAGCUGAUUGAAUUGAAAUAAGAUCAGGAAAGAUUGGGAUCUUCGGACCAAUUGCUGAAGGAAGGGCCUGCGUAUCAUUAGCUAGUUGGUGGGGUAAUGGCCUACCAAGGCAACGAUGAUUAACUGGUCUGAGAGGAUGAUCAGUCACACUGGAACUGAGACACGGUCCAGACUCCUACGGGAGGCAGCAGUAGGGAAUAUUGCGCAAUGGGGGCAACCCUGACGCAGCAACGCCACGUGAGUGAGGAAGGUCUUCGGAUUGUAAAGCUCUGUCGGUAGGGAAAAAUGAUAUGUAUUCGAAUAGGAUAUAUGUUUGAUGGUACCUAAAGAGGAAGCACCGGCUAACUUCGUG